GAUGAACGCCGGCGGCGUGCCUAAUACAUGCAAGUCGAGCGAACAGAUAAGGAGCUUGCUCCUUUGACGUUAGCGGCGGACGGGUGAGUAACACGUGGGUAACCUACCUAUAAGACUGGGAUAACUUCGGGAAACCGGAGCUAAUACCGGAUAACAUUUGGAACCGCAUGGUUCUAAAGUGAAAGAUGGUUUUGCUAUCACUUAUAGAUGGACCCGCGCCGUAUUAGCUAGUUGGUAAGGUAACGGCUUACCAAGGCGACGAUACGUAGCCGACCUGAGAGGGUGAUCGGCCACACUGGAACUGAGACACGGUCCAGACUCCUACGGGAGGCAGCAGUAGGGAAUCUUCCGCAAUGGGCGAAAGCCUGACGGAGCAACGCCGCGUGAGUGAUGAAGGGUUUCGGCUCGUAAAACUCUGUUAUUAGGGAAGAACAAACGUGUAAGUAACUGUGCACGUCUUGACGGUACCUAAUCAGAAAGCCACGGCUAACUACGUG
rnacentral:rRNA from 1 species